rnacentral:rRNA from 1 species
GACGAACGCUGGCGGCGUGCCUAAUACAUGCAAGUUGAGCGCUGAAGGUUGGUACUUGUACCAACUGGAUGAGCAGCGAACGGGUGAGUAACGCGUGGGGAAUCUGCCUUUGAGCGGGGGACAACAUUUGGAAACGAAUGCUAAUACCGCAUAAAAACUUUAAACACAAGAUCUAAGUAUGAAAGAUGCAAUUGCAUCACUCAAAGAUGAUCCCGCGUUGUAUUAGCUAGUUGGUGAGGUAAAGGCUCACCAAGGCGAUGAUACAUAGCCGACCUGAGAGGGUGAUCGGCCACAUUGGGACUGAGACACGGCCCAAACUCCUACGGGAGGCAGCAGUAGGGAAUCUUCGGCAAUGGACGAAAGUCUGACCGAGCAACGCCGCGUGAGUGAAGAAGGUUUUCGGAUCGUAAAACUCUGUUGGUAGAGAAGAACGUUGGUGAGAGUGGAAAGCUCAUCAAGUGACGGUAACUACCCAGAAAGGGACGGCUAACUACGUG